GAUGAACGCUGGCGGCGUGCCUAAUACAUGCAAGUCGAGCGAACAGACGAGGCGCUUGCUCCUUUGACGUUAGCGGCGGACGGGUGAGUAACAUGUAGGUAACCUACCUAUAUGACUGGGAUCACUUCGGGACUCCGGAGCUAAUACCGUAUAAUAUUCCGAACCGUAUGGUUCGAUAGUGAAAGACGGCUUUGCUAUCACUUAUAGCUGGAUCUGCGCCGUAUUAGCUAGUUGGUAAGGUAACGGCUUACCAAGGCAACGAUACGUAGCCGACCUGAGAGAGUGAUCGGCCACACUGGAGCGGGGACGCGGUCCAGACGCCUACGGGAGGCAGCAGUAUGGAAUCUUCCGCAGUAGUGGAAAGUCUGGCGGAGCGACGCGACGUGAGAGAUAGAGAUCUUCGGAGCGUGAUACUCUGUUAUGGGGUAAGAACAGACGUGGAAGUUGCUGUGCAGUUCGUGACGGUACCGAAUCAGAAAGCCACGGCUAACUACGUG
rnacentral:rRNA from 1 species